rnacentral:rRNA from 1 species
CAGUCGCCGCGGUAAAACGUAGGGUGCGAGCGUUAAUCGGAAUUACUGGGCGUAAAGCGUGCGCAGGCGGUUUGUUAAGACAGAUGUGAAAUCCCCGGGCUUAACCUGGGAACUGCAUUUGUGACUGGCAAGCUAGAGUCUGGCAGAGGGGGGUGGAAUUCCGCGUGUAGCAGUGAAAUGCGUAGAUAUGCGGAGGAACACCGAUGGCGAAGGCAGCCCCCUGGGCCAAUACUGACGCUCAUGCACGAAAGCGUGGGGAGCAAACAGGAUUAGAUACCCCCGUAGUCCCUGUCUCUUAUAC